UGUCCCUUUGCAGUGAUCCUCAGCCGGCCACUCCAUGAUGGCUGGUCCAGCUGCCACUCCGCAGCCCUGUAGCCACGGUUGGUAGCCCGCGGAGGGAUGCGGUAGACGUGGACGUCAGGCUUGACACAGAGCACCGACUCGUACCCGCUCUCCUCCAUCGCGACGCCUGGAGCCCACCGAACUUCCGGCGACUUCCACCGUUCCUCUGUCCG
rnacentral:lncRNA from 1 species